GACGAACGCUGGCGGCGUGCUUAACACAUGCAAGUCGAACGGAAAGGCCCUGCUUGCAGGGUACUCGAGUGGCGAACGGGUGAGUAACACGUGGGUGAUCUGCCCUGCACUUCGGGAUAAGCCUGGGAAACUGGGUCUAAUACCGGAUAGGAGCCAUUUUUAGUGUGAUGGUUGGAAAGUUUUUUCGGUGUAGGAUGAGCUCGCGGCCUAUCAGCUUGUUGGUGGGGUAAUGGCCUACCAAGGCGGCGACGGGUAGCCGGACUGAGAGGUUGAACGGCCACAUUGGGACUGAGACACGGCCCAGACUCCUACGGGAGGCAGCAGUGGGGAAUAUUGCACAAUGGGGGAAACCCUGAUGCAGCGACGCCGCGUGGAGGAAGAAGGUCUUCGGAUUGUAAACUCCUGUUGUUGAGGAAGAUAAUGACGGUACUCAACAAGGAAGUGACGGCUAACUACGUGCCAGCCGCCGCGGUAA
rnacentral:rRNA from 1 species